CGAACGCUGGCGCGUGCCUAAUACAUGCAAGUUGAGCGCUGAAGGUUGGUACUUGUACCGACUGGAUGAGCAGCGAACGGGUGAGUAACGCGUGGGGAAUCUGCCUUUGAGCGGGGGACAACAUUUUGAAACGAAUGCUAAUACCGCAUAAAAACUUUAAACACAAGUUUUAAGUUUGAAAGAUGCAAUUGCAUCACUCAAAGAUGAUCCCGCGUUGUAUUAGCUAGUUGGUGAGGUAAAGGCUCACCAAGGCGAUGAUACAUAGCCGACCUGAGAGGGUGAUCGGCCACAUUGGGACUGAGACACGGCCCAAACUCCUACGGGAGGCAGCAGUAGGGAAUCUUCGGCAAUGGACGAAAGUCUGACCGAGCAACGCCGCGUGAGUGAAGAAGGUUUUCGGAUCGUAAAACUCUGUUGGUAGAGAAGAACGUUGGUGAGAGUGGAAAGCUCAUCAAGUGACGGUAACUACCCAGAAAGGGACGGCUAACUACGUGCCAGCAGCCGCGGUAAUACGUAGGUCCCGAGCGUUGUCCGGAUUUAUUGGGCGUAAAGCGAGCGCAGGUGGUUUAUUAAGUCUGGUGUAAAAGGCAGUGGCUCAACCAUUGUAUGCAUUGGAAACUGGUAGACUUGAGUGCAGGAGAGGAGAGUGGAAUUCCAUGUGUAGCGGUGAAAUGCGUAGAUAUAUGGAGGAACACCGGUGGCGAAAGCGGCUCUCUGGCCUGUAACUGACACUGAGGCUCGAAAGCGUGGGGAGCAAACAGGAGUAGAUACCCUGGUAGUCCACGCCGUAAACGAUGAGUGCUAGGUGUAGGGAGCUAUAAGUUCUNUUAUC
rnacentral:rRNA from 1 species